UCCAUCUUACGUUGUCUAUAUGAAAAAGGUUCUCUCCUCUUAGUUUUCCACUCCCCCACAUACAAAUAAACACAAUCUGAGUGACCAAAACUGAUCUAAAAAAUAGUUGAGGCAGUAUCUCUAAACCACCCAACUUCUUCGCCUUGUAUCUUCUCAUUUGCUUCGGCUUAAUUAACCUAUGCCUCUCGUCCUAGCGUUGAAUUCGAUGCAAUCUUUUCACCGCAUAGGGAUGUUUCGGCAUACAAAACAGCCUUGUCAAAUUCUUCCUACAUGAGCUAUAAAUGCUGUUAUGAAACCAAAGGUUCGAUUACAAUAAUGUGGAUCUAGAUUCUCAAUAUUCAUAUUGACAAUUGAACCUUUGUCAAAUUCAGAGACAUCUCGCAUGAUCGCAUCGCAUCCACUGAUAAGCCCUCUAUGAUUGGUGCCUUCCCCCAAUAUAAGUAAAUAAUCAUUUUUGUCUCAUCUAAUCCAAAUAGGAGUAAUUUCCCGAUUAUUUUUCGAGCCUUGCGCCAUAAGAGUAUCUGAAAUAGACGGCCACUAUCGCCCUCAAAUCAUAGGAUAGAAGUAGAACUCCUUUGUUUUUUACUUGUCAAAUGAGUAUAUUGUAAAAUGAAAUUGAAUCAUGUUUUAUAUAGCAUCUUUCGUGUAUCA